rnacentral:rRNA from 1 species
UACGUAGGGGGCUAGCGUUGUCCGGAUUUAUUGGGCGUAAAGGGUGCGUAGGCGGCGCGGUAAGUCGGGUGUGAAAUCUCGGAGCUUAACUCCGAAACUGCAUUCGAUACUGCCGUGCUUGAGGACUGGAGAGGAGACUGGAAUUUACGGUGUAGCGGUGAAAUGCGUAGAUAUCGUAAGGAAGACCAGUGGCGAAGGCGGGUCUCUGGACAGUUCCUGACGCUGAGGCACGAAGGCCAGGGGAGCAAACGGG